rnacentral:rRNA from 1 species
CCUACGGGAGGCAGCAGUGGGGAAUAUUGGACAAUGGGGGCAACCCUGAUCCAGCCAUGCCGCGUGUGUGAAGAAGGCCCUCGGGUUGUAAAGCACUUUCAGUGAGGAAGAACGCCUGGUGGUUAAUACCCAUCAGGAAAGACAUCACUCACAGAAGAAGCACCGGCUAACUCCGUGCCAGCAGCCGCGGUAAUACGGAGGGUGCGAGCGUUAAUCGGAAUUACUGGGCGUAAAGCGCGCGUAGGUGGCUUGAUAAGCCGGUUGUGAAAGCCCCGGGCUCAACCUGGGAACGGCAUCCGGAACUGUCAAGCUAGAGUGCAGGAGAGGAAGGUAGAAUUCCCGGUGUAGCGGUGAAAUGCGUAGAGAUCGGGAGGAAUACCAGUGGCGAAGGCGGCCUUCUGGACUGACACUGACACUGAGGUGCGAAUGCGUGGGUAGCAAACAGGAUUAGAUACCCCAGUAGUC